rnacentral:rRNA from 1 species
GACGAACGCUGGCGGCGUGCUUAACACAUGCAAGUCGAACGAUGAAGCCGGAGCUUGCUCUGGUGAAUUAGUGGCGAACGGGUGAGUAACACGUGAGUAACCUGCCCUUGACUCUGGGAUAACUGCGGGAAACUGUAGCUAAUACCGGAUACGACCCUCGGAGGCAUCUCCUGGGGGUGGAAAGAAUUUCGGUCAAGGAUGGACUCGCGGCCUAUAAGCUAGUUGGUGAGGUAAAGGCUCACCAAGGCGACGACGGGUAGCCGGCCUGAGAGGGUGACCGGACACACUGGGACUGCGAAACGGCCCAGACUCCGACGGGAGGCAGCAGAGGGGAAUAUUGCACGAUGGGGGCAAGCCUGAUGCAGCAACGCCGCGUGAGGGAUGACGGCCUUCGGGUUGUAAACCUCUUUUGGCAGGGAAGAAGCGAAAGUGACGGUGCCUGCAGAAAAAGCACCGGCUAACUACGUGCCAGCCGCCGCGGUAA